GGAAAAGGGAAACAAAAAUCAAUAUGAUUUGUAAAAAUCAAAGAGACAGAUACAGGAAUUCCCUGGCGGUCCAGUGGUUAAGACUCCACACUUCCACUGCAGGGGGCACGGGUUCAAUCCCUGGUCGGGGAGCUAAGAUCUCACGCACCCCGUGGUGUAGCCAAAAAAUAAAAGGUCCAUUUUAUGUCAUGUGACUUUCACUCCAAUAAAUUUGAUUUUUAAAGGCAGUGGUGAGUAACCACCUCUUUCAGGCAAGCAAGUGAAAACAAAUUUAUCUUUUUUUUUCUUUUUUAAAAUUUAUUUAUUUAUUUGUUUUUGGCUGUGUUGGGUCUUCGUUGCUGCCUGUGGGCUUUCUCUAGUUGCAGUGAGCAGGGGCUACUCUUCGUUGCGGAGCGUGGGCUUCUCAUCCUAGUGGCUUCUCUUGUUGCGGAGCACGGGCUCUAGGAGCAUGGGCUUGAGUAGUUGUGGCACACGGGCUUCAGUAGUUGUGGUGCGCGGGCUUCAGUAGUUGUGGCUCACAGGCUCUAGAGCGCAGGCUCAGCAGUUGUGGUGCACGGGCUUAGUUGCUCCGCGGCAUGUAGGAUCUUCCCCGACCAGAGCUCAAACCUGUGUCCCCUGCACUGGCAGGUGGAUUCUUAACCACUGCACCACCAGGGAAGCCCUCCAAGAAAACACUCUUUUUCACCUUUCUAAACUCUGGCAAAGAAAAAAAAAAAAGGCCAA